rnacentral:rRNA from 1 species
UACGGAGGGUGCAAGCGUUAUCCGGAUUUACUGGGUUUAACGGGUGUGUAGGCGGGCUUUUAAGUCUGGGGUGAAAUCCCGAAGCUCAACUUCGGAACUGCCUUGGAUACUAUUAGUCUUGAAUUAUGUUGAGGUUGGCGGAAUAUAACAUGUAGCGGUGAAAUGCAUAGAUAUGUUAUAGAACACCGAUUGCGAAGGCAGCUAACUAAGCAUAUAUUGACGCUGAGGCACGAAAGCGUGGGGAUCAAACAGG